rnacentral:rRNA from 1 species
GACGAACGCUGGCGGCGUGCUUAACACAUGCAAGUCGAGCGGAGCGGCGAACGGGUGAGUAACGCGUGAGUAACUGCCCCCCUCCCUGGGAUAACAGUUGGAAACGGCUGCUAAUACCGGAUAGUGGGGGAUGACUCGCGUCCUAUCAGCUUGUUGGUGGGGUAGUGGCCUACCAAGGCGACGACGGGUAGCCGGACUGAGAGGGCGACCGGCCACAAUGGACUGAGAUACGGACCAAACUCCUACUGGAGGCAGCAGUGGGGACUAUUGCACAGUAGGGGAAACCCUGAUGCAGCAACGCGCGUGCGGGAUGUCGGCCUUCGAGUUGUAAACCGCUUUCAUCCAUGACGCGGUAGUGGCAGAGGAAGCACCGGCUAACUACGUGCCAGCAGCCGCGGUAAUUC